rnacentral:snoRNA from 1 species
AUGCAUCUAUUUGACAGACCUGAAUAGUUAUUGUUUGCCACGAAAUUUCCGCUACAGAUGCAAGAAGAAGUGUCCUUGCGUUUCCUGUCUGAUUGUGGCAGCCAACAUUGAAUGGGGAAUACAGGA